AAGCAACAGAGCGGCGGCGACGCAGAGUGCGACAGUAGUACUGACGUCACUGGUACUGUGGCUGAGGCUCAUGUUGAGGCCAGGGGUGUUCUAGUAUCACCAACACUCUAUUAGGUCUCAAGGCGGAUCCAGAGGGGGUGUCUUAAAGCCUUCCCACUACUGAAGUCUUCAUCAAAUACUCUUUAAUUUAUAUUGUACAGGUGUUACCAAAUAAAGUGUAAAUAACAGAAAAAACUUUAUUUCCGUGUCUCGGGGAAAGUAUGAUACAAAUAGGAUACCAUACGAACUGUAAAAAAAAGUAUUUUAAAUUUAACAUUGAGUGUCAACAUAGCAUUCUUAAAUAUAUUAAGUUUAUUAUUUAGAAUAAAAGUAGGGUUUUACAUUUUUAGAACAAUCGAGCGUUAUACGUUUUUUAUCAAUGAAUUAAAAAUACUUAGAUUUAAUAAUAUUCUUCCAUUAUAGUUAACAGUGUAUUUCUUGUAAAUAUGUAAAAUGCUAUGUAUAUAGCUUGUACUGUAUUUUAAAAUAUAAUAUUUAUAUACUAAGACCUAUUUUAAUACUAUAUUAGUAUGUUUAAAUGUGAGCAUUCCUACAAUAAAUUGUAUUCCUUUUAUAAAUACAGGGUAUUGCUAGUGACUUUUACAUUUCUGUAUUGAGGCUUCGAAGUUUAUGUGUUUUUGUCAAAAAAUAGUGAUGUACGUUUUAAAUGUUGGUGCAAUACGAAAAUGGUGAUUAUUUACUAAAAAAAUAUAGUUUAAAUCCGCUACACGUUCACAAGUAGGCAUAUUAUAGCAAUUGUGGUGCAUAUUCCAAACUCUUGUUUAUUUCAAAGCUAUAAUCAAAUAAAUGUUACUGUAUACUUUUACGAAGGCUUGUGGCUCGAAGAAGGUUUGCAACGUUCAAAUAUGAAGAAUUACAACUCAGACUUUCUAAGCUUAUUCACCGUAUUAUUACGUGGAUUUGAAAUACUUCAAAACUUAAUGUUAUAGCAGAUGAGAAACAGAUUUAUUUAUUUUAUUUUAUGUCACACGUUUUAAUUAUUGUUUUUGGAGUGUUUUCAGUUAGGUACUGGUUGUUACAUAUUUUACUGUGAAAUAUAUUUUUCCACCGCUAGACUCAGGAGCUAUUUCACAAUUGAUAUAAAAUCUACAGCUCAUUGUCUAUUUCAGUUUUCUUCACGUGUGAUUUCAUGUAUAUUUAAAAAUAUUUUAAUAUGCCGUUUUGAAAAUUUCUUAACAAAAAAUAAAUAAAUGGUCUACAAUUGAAUAUUGAAGUAACGGUACACAAUUGUUAAUUCAAAAAAUGUUUUAGAAUUGUCGCAAUUUGUAAAAAGUGUUAUUUUCAAUGUUCUCUCUUAAAUAAAUAUUACAUUUAAAUAGUUCAUGGAAUCUUAUUUGUUUUAUUAUCACACUUUCCCGCUUAUUUGUGUAUUUUUCAAAAUACACGAAUCAAUGUCAUUGUUGAAUAGAAAAUGUAAAAAUCUUCUGACUUUUUACUAAACACUUGUUUGUCCAAGCAAAAUUAAACUUAAUUUUGCAAUUUUAAUAUACAUAAUGAAUUAUAUAGGUUUAAAUGAAACAUUGUAACAUAAUUUCAUUUCGAUACUCGUAUAAGGAAAUAUGGUUUGUGGAUAUUGUGUGAAUUCACCACAAACAGGUUUAAAAUAUUCAAUAAAUAAUUGGAUUUACGUACAUUAGUAAGAAUGUAGCCAUAUAAAUUUUUAUUUUUAUAUAUGGAUCUUAAAGGUCUUCCUCGUUCGUAUAUUAUUUGUAAGGUAUUGCUAAAGAUUGAUAUUCUAAUUUCAAACUUC